UACGUAGGGGGCUAGCGUUGUCCGGAAUCAUUGGGCGUAAAGCGCGUGUAGGCGGCCCGGUAAGUCCGCUGUGAAAACUCGAGGCUCAACCUCGAGACGUCGGCGGAAACCAUCUGGCUAGAGUCCGGAAGAGGAGAGUGGAAUUCCUCGGUGUAGCGGUGAAAUGCGCAGAUAUCGAGGAAGAACACCCCGUGGCGAAGGCGGCUCUCUGGGACGGUACUGACGCUGAGACGCGAAAGCGUGGGGAGCGAACAGG
rnacentral:rRNA from 1 species